GGAUGUGAGGGCGACCUGACGUGACAUCUGUCACCCCAUUGAUCACCAGGGUUGAUCGGGCUGAUCUGGCUGGCUAGGUGGGUGUCCCCUUCCUCCCUGACCUGCACGUGGGUCCCUCUGGGAAGAGGGCUGCCUUCUUCAGACCUGUCUUCGGGUUUAAGAGUAGCUGCGCUCCUCUGCUAGAACCUCCAAACAAGCUCUCAUAAAAUGGUUAAUUUUUAGGGUAUGUGAACCUAGAUCAGAACAUUUGUUUUUAAAGAGGGAGACAGGCUU
ensembl:misc_RNA 7SK 7SK RNA